GUGGGGAAUAUUGGACAAUGGGCGCAAGCCUGAUCCAGCAAUGCCGCGUGCAGGAAGAAGGCCUUCGGGUUGUAAACUGCUUUUGUACGGAACGAAAAGGCUCUGGCUAAUACCUGGAGCUCAUGACGGUACCGUAAGAAUAAGCACCGGCUAACUACGUGCCAGCAGCCGCGGUAAUACGUAGGGUGCGAGCGUUAAUCGGAAUUACUGGGCGUAAAGCGUGCGAAGGCGGUGCUGUAAGACAGGCGUGAAAUCCCCGGGCUCAACCUGGGAAUUGCGGUUGUGACUGCAGCGCUGGAGUGCGGCAGAGGGGGAUGGAAUUCCGCGUGUAGCAGUGAAAUGCGUAGAUAUGCGGAGGAACACCGAUGGCGAAGGCAAUCCCCUGGGCCUGCACUGACGCUCAUGCACGAAAGCGUGGGGAGCAAACAGGAUUAGAAACCCUAGUAGUCC
rnacentral:rRNA from 1 species